GGACUCAAACCAGUUCAGUAUUUUGCUGAAGAUGAGCUAAGAAUUUUGGAUGCUCUUGAAGACUCAAUCAUGCAACCAUGGGAUGGCUCUUCCAUGGAGGAGAUGAUGAAAAGGGAAAGCUACUUAGUAUUUGCUAUGUUGUUCGUUUGUAUACGAGUACUGCUAUUUAUAUCUCCAAAGGUUUUAUCUCAUCUCAAGGCUUUCUAUGGGUCAUAUGUUCCUCAUUUCAAAUUGGAAAUAUUUGGUGAGACAAGUCAAUU
rnacentral:misc_RNA from 1 species